rnacentral:rRNA from 1 species
UGGGGAAUAUUGCACAAUGGGCGCAAGCCUGAUGCAGCAACGCCGCGUGAACGAUGAAGGUCUUCGGAUCGUAAAGUUCUGUUGCAGGGGAAGAUAAUGACGGUACCCUGUGAGGAAGCACCGGCUAACUACGUGCCAGCGGCCGCGGUAAUACGUAGGGUGCGAGCGUUGUCCGGAAUUACUGGGCGUAAAGAGCUCGUAGGCGGUUUGUCACGUCGUCUGUGAAAUCCUAGGGCUUAACCCUGGACGUGCAGGCGAUACGGGAUGACUUGAGUACUACAGGGGAGACUGGAAUUUCUGGUGUAGCGGUGGAAUGCACAGAUAUCAGGAAGAACACCGAUGGCGAAGGCACGUCUCUGGGUAGUAACUGACGCUGAGGAGCGAAAGCAUGGGUAGCGAACAGG